CCAUGCAGAAGGUCCUUCAGGAGUGGCUGUGGAUCCUCUCCAAGCCCGGAGCAUUCCUGUGCCAGAGAAGGAAAACGUCAGGACUGUGCUGAGAACUGUGACCCUUUCCUCCAAGGAAGGGGAGGACCCUGUGAUCCAGCUGAAUCUUCCUGACAGGCUGGGGAAAAGGAAAACCCUCCUGGGUGGAAAAAGUUUCCUCCCCCUGAGGAGGAACGUGGCUGACAGGCUGGGGAGGAAGGCAGAGCUGCAGGAAAACUCUGAAAAGGCC